UACGGAGGGUGCAAGCGUUAUCCGGAUUCACUGGGUUUAAAGGGUGCGUGAGUGGGCAGGUAAGUCAGUGGUGAAAUCUCCGAGCUUAACUCGGAAACUGCCGUUGAUACUAUUCUCUUGAAUAUUGUGGAGGUAAGCGGAAUAUGUCAUGUAGCGGUGAAAUGCUUAGAUAUGACAUAGAACACCAAUUGCGAAGGCAGCUUACUACACAACGAUUGACGCUGAGGCACGAAAGCGUGGGGAUCAAACAGG
rnacentral:rRNA from 1 species